GUCCAUGUCCGGAAGAGCAGCUUCCUACUUCCGCUCCCUCUGCCCUCUCCCCUCCUCCGCCUCCCCCUUCAGACAUCCCUGCCCAGGGUUUUCCUCUUCUCCUCCGCUCGGGCCUUCUGGGCGAGUCUGAUGCGGAAACGUCCUGGACAGGUGUGCUUUCAGGAAGGUUUGGAAGGAAGGGAAGGAAUGCCGCUAAGUCACUGGGGGUUGGUUCCAGCAAUUCUUUCCAAGGUGGAGAGAGACCCAGUGUUGGGGGCCCCCAAGACAGAGGCGGAGACUAACUGAGGAAACUGAAGCGCAGAGAAGGGAAGACAUUUGUCCUGGUGGCAAGUGUGAGAGCCCCAAACAGAGGCAAGAAGAAGACCCCAAGGUGCUGAGGCUGGGUAGGCAGAGAAGCGCACCGGUGUCAUUACUCUGCAUUGUGGGACCCCUGCUGGCAAUCAGAGUCAUACCAGACACUAGCGGGGCACAGCCAUUUCAUUUAUGUAACAAAUAUUCAGGUACUGUUGUAAGUGUGUGGACAGUUACAAGCUCAUGUAAUCCUCACGAUCACCC